GCCCUACCUUGUAUGGUGGUUAUGACACUCGGCUAGUAAUCGAGUGGGCUCGGGUUCGAAUUCCGAAUAAGGUA
rnacentral:tRNA from 1 species